rnacentral:rRNA from 1 species
UCUACGGGGUGCAGCAGUGAGGAAUAUUGGUCAAUGGGCGGAAGCCUGAACCAGCCAAGUAGCGUGCAGGAUGACGGCCCUACGGGUUGUAAACUGCUUUUAUACGGGAAUAACGCGCCUUACGUGUAGGGCUUUGCAUGUACCGUAUGAAUAAGGACCGGCUAAUUCCGUGCCAGCAGCCGCGGUAAUACGGAAGGUCCGGGCGUUAUCCGGAUUUAUUGGGUUUAAAGGGAGCGUAGGCCGCAUGUCAAGCGUGCUGUGAAAUGUCCGGGCUCAACCCGGGCCUUGCAGCGCGAACUGGCGGGCUUGAGUCCGCGGAAAGCAGGCGGAAUUCGUGGUGUAGAGGUGAAAUGCUUAGAUAUGACGAAGAACCCCGAUUGCGAAGGCAGCUUGCUGCAGCGGAACUGACGCUGAUGCUCGAAAGCGCGGGUAUCGAACAGGAUUAGAUACCCGGGUAGUC